rnacentral:rRNA from 1 species
UCGAGAAUUUUUCUCAAUGGGGGAAACCCUGAAGGAGCGACGCCGCGUGAGGGAUGAAGGGCUUCGGCCCGUAAACCUCUGUCAUUUGCGAACAAGUGUCAUGGUUGAACAUUCCAUGAUUUGAUUGUAGCGAAAGAGGAAGGGACGGCUAACUCUGUGCCAGCAGCCGCGGUAAUACAGAGGUCCCAAGCGUUGUUCGGAUUCACUGGGCGUAAAGGGUGCGCAGGUGGGCUGUCAAGUUCGAUGUGAAAGCCCCGGGCUUAACCCGGGAAUGGCAUUGAAUACUGAUGGUCUGGAGGAUCGGAGGGGGGACUGGAAUUCUUGGUGUAGCAGUGAAAUGCGUAGAUAUCAAGAGGAACACCAGUGGCGAAGGCGAGUCCCUGGACGAUACCUGACACUGAGGCACGAAAGCCAAGGGAGCAAACAGGAUUAGAUACCCCUGUAGUCC